UACAGAGGUCCCAAGCGUUGUUCGGAUUCAUUGGGCGUAAAGGGUGCGUAGGUGGCGCUGCAAGUCGGUUGUGAAAAUCCGGGGCUCAACCCCGGACCUGCAUCCGAUACUGCGUGACUAGAGGUAGGUAGGGGAGAUCGGAAUUCCUGGUGUAGCGGUGAAAUGCGCAGAUAUCAGGAGGAACACCGGUGGCGAAGGCGGGUCUCUGGGCCGAUACUGACGCUGAGGAGCGAAAGCGUGGGGAGCGAACAGG
rnacentral:rRNA from 1 species